AUACCGGCGCCACGAGUGGAAUUCAUGUUUAUUGGGUCUAAAGUGUCCGUAGCUGGUUUGAUAAGUCUCUUGUGAAAGUCCUCUAGCUUAACUGAGGAUUUGCAAGAGAUACUGUCUGACUUGAGACCGGAAGAGGUGUGAGGUAUUGCUUGGGUAGCGGUAAAAUGCUAUAAUCCUUGCAAGACCAACUAAGGCGAAGGCAUCACACUUGGACGGAUCUGACAGUGAGGGACGAAAGCUGGGGGAGCGAACCGGAUUAGAAACCCUAGUAGUCC
rnacentral:rRNA from 1 species